ACCUGGCUAGCUCAGUCAGUACAGCAUGUGAAUCUUGAUCUCAAGAGUUGUGAGUUCAAGCCCCAUGUUGGGUG
rnacentral:tRNA from 1 species